rnacentral:rRNA from 1 species
AGAACGAACGCUGGCGGCAUGCCUAACACAUGCAAGUCGAACGAGACCUUCGGGUCUAGUGGCGCACGGGUGCGUAACGCGUGGGAAUCUGCCCUUGGGUUCGGAAUAACAGCGAGAAAUUGCUGCUAAUACCGGAUGAUGACGUAAGUCCAAAGAUUUAUCGCCCAAGGAUGAGCCCGCGUAGGAUUAGCUUGUUGGUGAGGUAAGAGCUCACCAAGGCGACGAUCCUUAGCUGGUCUGAGAGGAUGAUCAGCCACACUGGGACUGGAGACACGGCCCAGACUCCGUACGGGAGGCAGCAGUGGGGAAUAUUGGACAAGU